GACGAACGCUGGCGGCGUGCCUAAUACAUGCAAGUCGAACGCAGUGGGGACGGGUGAUUACCACGUGGGUAACCUCCCAUCAGAGGGGAUAACCCUUGGAAACAGGUGCUAAACCGAUACUGAUGGAUGGACCCGCGGUGCAUUAGCUAGUUGGUGAGGUAACGGCUCACCAAGGCCACGAUGCAUAGCCGGCCUGAGAGGAUGAUCGGCCACACUGGAACUGAGACACGGCCCAGACUCCUACGGGAGGCAGCAGUGGGGAAUCUUCGGCAAUGGACGAAAGUCUGACCGAGCAACGCCGCGUGAGUGAAGAAGGUUUUCGGAUCGUAAAGCUCUGUUGUUAGGGAAGCGUUAUCUAACCAGAAAGCCACGGCUAACUACGUGCCAGCAGCCGCGGUAAUUC
rnacentral:rRNA from 1 species